rnacentral:rRNA from 1 species
UACGAAGGGUGCAAACGUUGCUCGGAAUUAUUGGGCGUAAAGCGUACGUAGGCGGCUUAGCAAGUCGGAUGUGAAAGCCCUCGGCUCAACCAAGGAAGUGCAUCCGAAACUGCUGAGCUUGAGUACUUAAGAGGAUCGCGGAAUUCCCGGUGUAGAGGUGAAAUUCGUAGAUAUCGGGAGGAACACCAGUGGCGAAGGCGGCGAUCUGGGAAGAUACUGACGCUGAGGUGCGAAAGCCAGGGGAGCGAACGGGG